rnacentral:tRNA from 1 species
AGGCUAGAAAGCAAAAUUGGUUUUUUGCAAAAGAUUGCAAAUCUUAGGUUAUUGGUUCGAGUCCAAUUCUAGCUUA